rnacentral:rRNA from 1 species
GACGGAGGGGGCAAGCGUUGGCCGGAAUUAUUGGGCGUAAAGGGUACGUAGGCGGCUGGUCAAGUCUGGGGUCAAAGGCCACAGCUCAACUGUGGGAAGGCUCUGGAAACUGACCGGCUAGAGUGAGGUAGGGGUUGCGGGAAUUCCCGGUGUAGCGGUGAAAGGCGUAGAGAUCGGGAAGAACCCCUGAGGCGCAAGCGCGCAACUGGCCCUCAACUGACGCUGAGGUACGAAAGCUAGGGGAGCGAAUGGG